rnacentral:rRNA from 1 species
CACGUAGGAGGCGAGCGUUGUCCGGAAUCAUUGGGCGUAAAGAGCGCGCAGGCGGCCCGGCAAGUCGGGUGUGAAAUCCCGGGGCUCAACCCCGGGACUGCAUUCGAUACGGGCAGGCUAGAGUUCGGUAGGGGAGACUGGAAUUCCUGGUGUAGCGGUGAAAUGCGCAGAUAUCAGGAGGAACACCGGUGGCGAAGGCGGGUCUCUGGGCCGAUACUGACGCUGAGGAGCGAAAGCGUGGGGAGCGAACAGG